GGCCAGACUCCUACGGGAGGCAGCAGUGGGGGAUAUUGCACAAUGGGGGGAACCCUGAUGCAGCGACGCCGCGUGGGUGAAGAAGCGCCUCGGCGCGUAAAGCCCUGUCAGCAGGGAAGAAAAUGAUGGUACCUGAAGAAGAAGCCCCGGCUAACUACGUGCCAGCAGCCGCGGUAAUACGUAGGGGGCAAGCGUUAUCCGGAUUUACUGGGUGUAAAGGGAGCGUAGACGGCAAUGCAAGCCAGAUGUGAAAGCCCGGGGCUCAACCCCGGGACUGCAUUUGGAACUGUGUAGCUGGAGUGUCGGAGAGGCAGGCGGAAUUCCUGGUGUAGCGGUGAAAUGCGUAGAUAUCAGGAGGAACACCGGUGGCGAAGGCGGCCUGCUGGACUGCAACUGACGUUGAGGCCCGAAAGCGUGGGGAGCAAACAGGAUUAGAUACCCUAGUAA
rnacentral:rRNA from 1 species